UACGGAGGAUGCAAGUGUUAUCCGGAAUCACUGGGCGUAAAGCGUCUGUAGGUGGUUUAAUAAGUCUACUGUUAAAUCUUGAGGCUCAACCUCAAAAUCGCAGUCGAAACUAUUAGGCUAGAGUAUAGUAGAGGUAAAGGGAAUUUCCAGUGGAGCGGUGAAAUGCGUAGAGAUUGGAAAGAACACCGAUGGCGAAGGCAAUUUACUGGGUUAUUACUAACACUCAGAGACGAAAGCUAGGGUAGCAAAUGGG
rnacentral:rRNA from 1 species